UACGUAGGGGGCAAGCGUUGUCCGGAUUUACUGGGCGUAAAGCGCGCGUAGGCGGGGGAGCAAGUCCGGUGUGAAAGCCCCCAGCUCAACUGGGGAAGGUCGCUGGAACUGUUCUCUUGAGGGUGACAGAGGGAAGUGGAAUUGCUGGUGUAGCGGUGAAAUGCGUAGAGAUCAGCAGGAACACCCGUGGCGAAGGCGGCUUCCUGGGUCACCACUGACGCUGAGGCGCGAAAGCGUGGGGAGCGAACGGG
rnacentral:rRNA from 1 species